rnacentral:rRNA from 1 species
UACGGAGGGGGCUAGCGUUGUUCAGAAUUACUGGGCGUAAAGCGCGCGUAGGCGGCUUUGUAAGUUAGAGGUGAAAGCCCGAAGCUCAACUUCGGAAUUGCCUUUAAGACUGCAUCGCUAGAAUCAUGGAGAGGUUAGUGGAAUUCCGAGUGUAGAGGUGAAAUUCGUAGAUAUUGGGAAGAACACCGGUGGCGAAGGCGGCGACCUGGUCCUUGACUGACGCUGAGGCGCGAAAGCGUGGGGAGCAAACAGG